AGAGUUUGAUCCUGGCUCAGAUUGAACGCUGGCGGCGAGCGGCGGACGGGUGAGGAAUGCAUCGGAAUCUACCUGUCGUGGGGGAUAACGUAGGGAAACUUACGCUAAUACCGCAUACGACCGAGAGGUGAAAGUGGGGGACCUUCGGGCCUCACGGCGAUUGGAUGAGCCGAUGCCGGAUUAGCUAGUUGGUGGGGUAAAGGCCCACCAAGGCGACGAUCCGUAGCUGGUCUGAGAGGAUGAUCAGCCACAUUGGGACUGAGACACGGCCCAAACUCCUACGGGAGGCAGCAGUGGGGAAUAUUGGACAAUGGGCGCAAGCCUGAUCCAGCCAUGCCGCGUGUGUGAAGAAGGCCUUCGGGUUGUAAAGCACUUUUGUUCGGGAAGAAAUCGUACGGAUUAAUACUUUGUACGGAUGACGGUACCGAAAGAAUAAGCACCGGCUAACUCCGUG
rnacentral:rRNA from 1 species